GAUGAACGCUAGCUACAGGCUUAACACAUGCAAGUCGAGGGGAAACGAUGAGAGAGCUUGCUCUCUUCGGCGUCGACCGGCGCACGGGUGAGUAACGCGUAUCCAACCUACCCAUUACAGGGGGAUAACCUUGCGAAAGUAAGACUAAUACCCCAUUGCAUUUUCUGGUGGCAUCAUUAUAGGAUUCAAGAUUUGUUGGUAAUGGAGGGGGAUGCGUCUGAUUAGCUUGUUGGCGGGGUAACGGCCCACCAAGGCAACGAUCAGUAGGGGUUCUGAGAGGAAGGGCCCCGACAUUGGAACUGAGACACGGUCCAAACUGCUACGGGAGGGAGCAGUGAGGAAUGGUGGUCUAUGGGCGAGAGCUUGAACCAGCCAAGUAGCGUGCAGGAUGACGGCCCUAGGGGUUGUAAACUGCUUUUAUAGGGGAAUAAAGUGAGCUACGUGUAGUUUAUUGCAGGUACCCUAUGAAUAAGGACCGGCUAAUUCCGUG
rnacentral:rRNA from 1 species